rnacentral:rRNA from 1 species
AUUGAACGCUGGCGGCAUGCCUUACACAUGCAAGUCGAACGGUAACGGGCCUUCGGGUGCCGACGAGUGGCGAACGGGGGCGUAAUACAACGGAACGUGCCCGAUCGUGGGGGAUAACGAGGCGAAAGCUUUGCUAAUACCGCAUACGAUCUACGGAUGAGAGCAGGGGACCGCAAGGCCUUACGCGGACGGAGCGGCCGAUGGCAGAUUAGGUAGUUGGUGGGAUAAAAGCUUACCAAGCCGACGAUCUGUAGCUGGUCUGAGAGGAUGAUCAGCCACACUGGGACUGAGACACGGCCCAGACUCCUACGGGAGGCAGCAGUGGGGAAUUUUGGACAAUGGGCGCAAGCCUGAUCCAGCCAUGCCGCGUGCAGGAUGAAGGCCUUCGGGUUGUAAACUGCUUUUGUACGGAACGAAAAGCCUUCUUUGAAUACAGGAGGGUCAUGACGGUACCGUAAGAAUAAGCACCGGCUAACUACGUG